UUGAGUACUUUGUUUUUUUCAGAACUCCUGGAGGUCCAAAAGAACUGAUCCUGCAGGUCUCCUUGUCACACCAGUGAGGGCCUUGGAGUCUGUCCAGUGCUUCCAUGAGCUCCAAUUCCAUCCUGCUGCUGCCCACAGGCGAGUGUGAACUUUGGGAGAGCCACACCCCAGCCUGUCAUGGUCCACUUUGGCAUUUCAUCCUUACAUUUUAUUUUUAAUGAAAGCAUUUCAUGGCAUGGGAUCCUGCAAGCACUCAUGCUAACCUGCUUUAAAACUGGUCUAUGAAGUCUUCUUAGUUAGCCCAUUAAAAAAUGACAAACCUACAGAAUUUUCUGGGACCUGAUUCUUCUACUUGAGCAUUUACACCUUGUUUUCAGAGUAAUACCUUCAUUCCAGUGCUCAUGGACUAACAAACAGUCUAACCUGCACCAUGAAAGCAGUAUCUGGGCAUUAAUUUACCUCUAUAUGGCACUUGUAUAAUUUAAAUAACCUCCCAUGACCCUUGUGUGAAUGCUAGAGUUCACGUAAUUACCGACAAAAAUUAUCUUGCCCAUAAACCGACUGAGCUGUGUAUAAAUCCUUGAUGUCAGGGGUAGGAUGCUGAAAUGUAAGUUAUAUAUAAAAGGAAUAUAACAUGCAGAAUAAAUUACUCUUGCCAGAAAAAAGAUUGAUUCACUGAGUUCUAUUUAGCUUUUAAUUUAUAACAAACUAGCCUAAUCUCAGUUUCCUUAGCUUCUGUAAAAAUAUUAAAUAACAUUAUUAUAUCAAAUACAUCCCCUGUGACAUUAAAGGAAAUGGAAAGCUUAGGCACACAUUAAUUGCAUUCCAAAAUGUGGCACAAACCUUAAUAAACCUAAUUUAAAGAACCUAAGAACAAUGACAUUUAUGCUUUAAUUAGAGCAAAGGAAAGCUGUGCUGCACACUUUUACAUAAACAAUUUUUCUUGUGGGACCCGGCAUUUCUGGCAAGGUGCACAUUUCCCUGCAGUGUGCCACAUGUCAGACUUCUUCCAGAGGCAAAACUUGCUUUUUGGAGAUGGACACUGCCACACCAAAACACAGCAGUAACAAGCACUGUGAGAACCCAGCAGACAGUAUAGGCAACCUUGAAGCAAGGCUUUCUCAAAACCUGGACUAUCCCAGGAAAAUGGAAUUAUUUCCUUUUAAGGAGAACACAUUAAAGUGGCCAGAUACGCAGCAAAGCCAACAAUAACAGUUUAAGAUGAUAAAUGUUUUUUUAAUGAUCCCUAUCACUCUGGUAUUCUAAUCACAGCACAUACGUUUAAAAUGGAAAACAUCCAAAUCUGCAAAAAACCAUUUGACAUGAGAUUAAAAAAACCAUCCAAAAUCAGAUAGAUUAAUAGAUCUAAUUUACUUUAGAGGUAUUCACAAACUGUUACAAAAACCAGAUUGGUCAUAAGACUCUAAGCUGUUACCAUAUGCAUCUCACAGGUUCUGUGUUAUGUUCCUUAUGCUGGCAAACUGACUAAUGAGUUCAAGACUGUUCCCCAGACAAGAACAUGACAAUUUGUGUGCUGUGCAUUACAGCACUUUGUGCUCUGCAGCAGAAUGAAACAUAAAUGUUGUGGAAGAAUUUAGACGUUCUUUCACAAUCUGCUCUGGUAAAAAGGAAAUUGUGCAGUAGCUUAAUAUAUAUUUAAAACUGAGAAUCUCACUGAAUGCAGAUGAAUGAUGUAAUACAUAUACUGCACAUGUAUUUACUUUCAUUUUAUUUUUUUAAUCUUUUAGUGCUAUUGCCACAAUCUCAGCAUCUCAUUAUUGUUCAGGUCUUCAUAUUGUUAAUUUCUGUAGACCCUUUGUCUGUUUUCUCAGGAAUGUUCUCUGCUGUUAGACAGAGUUUAGAGGCAUUUGGGACUAUUGGACAAGCAGAGCAACCAGGCAACAGGAGCAGCAGAAGGAAACACUGGACUGAUGCUGAGCAUUAUUAAAGGCAAAUUUAGACCAGGACCAGCACCAUUCCAGCUGGAAGCACUGGGGAAAAUUUAGUUUCUUAUUUCUGAUGGUCAGAAGAGAUAAAGAUGCUCAAGACUCUCUACUGAUGUGGAACUCCAUUUCUGUGUCUCCACUCCAAGAGGUCUCUUUAAAUCAUUAUAUCCUGAUUAAAAUGUACCAGCAACACCUCCUUUCAGAAGACAAAGCUUUUAGUUCAAGGUGAGAUAUAUGGAAUUUGGGGGAAAAAAGGCUUGACUUGCAUAGGUCUGAUCUCAGUUGCUGAUUUAGUGGUGUUCCUGGGCUCUUUUUGCUCAUGUCUUGGGCUUAUGUAAGUAGAUCAGUGCUCUCUAUACCAUUUUGGUUUUUUGCCCAUUUGCUUUACAGAAUGGUUUCAGGGCUGUAAUUAGGAAAGCAGUGUGAAAAGUGUAUUCCCAGACGCCUUGUGGUCAGUUCUGCCUGAGGUAACCACCAACAGCCUCUCUCAGCUUAAUGAUGUCUGCUGUUGGCAAUGCUUCUGCCAGAGAGCGAGGUUAAUGUCAGGAAAUAAAAUAAAAUCUGCUUAGUAAACACUGCAAAGAAAACAGGUUAUGUGUUAAUGUGCUUGCACCAGCUAUUCCUCGCUGAAGCUUUACUUUCAAAUUUUGUUGUUUAAAUUUUGGUUGUUCAUACAUGGUUAAAUUUCUAGAAACUUUGAAGAAGCUCAGAAUGAUAGAGAUUAAAUUAAGAGCUAAAAGAUGUCUGUCAGGCUCUUGGCUUCUAGUCCAUACUUCCACUAGCAUAGGAACACUUGUCUGAUAUCAGUUGAAUUUCUUAGGUAAGAGACAUCUGCCACACACAUUUCACUUUUAGAAGGGUUUCUCUAAUACUCAAUGUCAUUUUCCCUAAAGGAAAACCACUGCAGAAUUUAACAGCAAUAGCUGUAGAGAACAUCAUAGAAAUUACAUUUCUAUACCUGCAGGACUGAAUAGAGAUUAAUAUAACUUACACAUUCCUAUCGAGGUGUUUUAUUGCAUUUUAUAGGAAGAAUACAAUUUUCUCUUAAAUUAUAUGGCAUAGUUUAAAGAACAAGGUUGUAAUUUCCUUAACAAAUGCUUUUAAUACCUUCCUAUGAUAGUUCAUGUUUUAAAUUUCAUCAUUGUCUCUAUAGCUUAUUUAGGCAAGUGUGGCCACCCAUACGUGACGAAACAAAUUAAAAAGGGCAUAUAAUGUUCCAGUUUCAAGUACUUGGGUGGAUGGGGUUGCUUUAAUAUACAUAUAUCAUACUCUUCCAAGCUAUCCAGGACUUUUGGAUGAAUUGGGUGCAAUAUAUUAACUCAAUUUCAAUGGAAACACAGAUCAAAGAAUGUAGCUGGGAGGUCUUAUUAAAGUAUGAGACUUCA